GUCCACGCCGUAAACGAUGGGUGCUAGGUGUCGCGGGCUUUGACCCCUGCGGUGCCGUAGCUAACGCAUUAAGCACCCCGCCUGGGGAGUACGGCCGCAAGGCUAAAACUCAAAGGAAUUGACGGGGGCCCGCACAAGCGGUGGAGCAUGUGGUUCAAUUCGACGCAACGCGCAGAACCUUACCUGGGCUAGAAAGUGCAGGAACCUGGUUGAAAGAUCGGGGUGCUCUUCGGAGAACCUGCAGUUAGGUGCUGCAUGGCUGUCGU
rnacentral:rRNA from 1 species